rfam:Musa acuminata subsp. malaccensis Doubled-haploid Pahang (DH-Pahang) genomic chromosome, chr7
AUACCUUUCUCGGCCUUUUGGCUAAGAUCAAGUGUAGUAUCUGUUCUUAUCAGUUUAAUAUCUGAUACGUGAGCCAUUGGCUCACUAUGAUAUUAAAUUAAUUUCUUAUGGGGGAGGGUCCUUCACGGUAGCUUGCUACUGGGGCCCUCGAGCGUCGCCAUUGCGUUGCACUACUGCAAGGGCCCGGCGCACCCCUC